rnacentral:rRNA from 1 species
AAGAAAAUCUCCGCGGGAGCAGAGCGGUGACCGUACCAAAUCUGACACAGGAGGGCGAGGCGAAUAGCCUCAGGCGCGCGAGAGAACCCUACGUGAAGGAACUCGGCAAAUUAACCCCGUAAGUUCGCGAUAAGGGGUGCCCCCCGUAAGGGGGGCCACAGGAAAACGACAGCUGCGACUGUUUACUAAAAACACAGGUCUCUGCGAAGUCGUCAAAGACGACGUAUAGGGACUGACGCUUGCCCGCUGUUGGAACGUUAAGGUGACUGGUUAGCCGCAAGGCGAGGCUGGGAACCGAAGCGCCAAUGAAGGGCGGCCGUAACUAUGACGGUCCUAAGGUAGCGAAAUUCCUUGUCGGGUAAGUUCCGACCCGCACGAAUAGCGUAACGACAGCUGUACUGUCUCCACGAGGGACUCGGCGAAAUUGUAGUUGUGGUGAAGAUGCCACAUACCCGCACCAAGACGGAAAGACCCCGUGAACCUUUACUGUAACCUAAUACUGGCUCUAGGUUCGCCAUGUGUAGCAUAGGUGGGAGACGUUAAUGUCGGGGGCGCCAGCCUCCGAAUAGUCUUCAGUGAAAUACCACUCUUGGCGAUCUUGGAGUCUAACCUGCGACCGUUAUCCGGCGUGGGAACAGUGUUAGGCGGGCAGUUUGACUGGGGCGGUCUCCUCCUAAAAGGUAACGGAGGAGUGCAAAGGUACCCUCGAUGCGGUUGGCAAUCGCAUGAAGAGCGUAAAGGUAUAAGGGUGCUUGACUGCGAGACACAUAGGUCGAGCAGGUACGAAAGUAGGUCUUAGUGAUCCGGUGGUCCCGUGUGGAAGGGCCAUCGCUCAUCAGAUAAAAGGUACUCCGCGGAUAACAGGCUGAUCACGCCCAAGAGUCCAUAUCGACGGCGUGGUUUGGCACCUGGAUGUCGGCUCAUCGCAUCCCGGGGCUGAAGGCGGUCCCAAGGGUUGGUCUGUUCGCCCAUUAAAGCGGUACGUGAGCUGGGUUUAGACCGUCGUGAGACAGGUCGGUCCCUAUCUGGUGUGGGCGCAGGAUGAUUGCGGAGACUCUUUCCUAGUACGAGAGGAUUGGAAAGAACGGACCUCUGGUGUGCCAGUUGUCGCGCUAGCGGCAUCGCUGGAUAGCUAUGUCCGGGCUGGAUAAGCGCUGAAAGCAUCUAAGUGCGAAGCCAACUCCAAGACUGGUCAUCCCAUGAGACACCUGGUAGACCACCAGGUUGAUAGGCCGGAAGUGUAAGGACAGCAAUGUUCUCAGCUAACCGGUACUAACCAGUCGAUCGGCUUGAUCC